rnacentral:rRNA from 1 species
CAGUCGCGUUCUCUGGGAUUCAGCCUUGCUUCUUGCUUGGUGCAUUUCCUAGUCUACGGGCAGCAUGAAUCUUGAGCGGUGGAAAAGGGUUUGGGGAAUGUGGCACCUCCGGGUGUGUUAUAGCCUUCGGUAGAUGUGAUGAUCGGGAUUGAGGAUUGCAACGGAUACCCUUCGGGGCUACCUGUCUGGUCUCUGAUCGUUGCUCUGGUGCCGAAAGCUUGCUUACGGUUAUCUAAAGUCGAUGGUCAAUAGGUUAGAA